UAGGGAAGAACAAGUGCUAGUUGAAUAAGCUGGCACCUUGACGGUACCUAACCAGAAAGCCACGGCUAAUUACGUGCCAGCAGCCGCGGUAAUACGUAGGUGGCAAGCGUUAUCCGGAAUUAUUGGGCGUAAAGCGCGCGCAGGUGGUUUCUUAAGUCUGAUGUGAAAGCCCACGGCUCAACCGUGGAGGGUCAUUGGAAACUGGGAGACUUGAGUGCAGAAGAGGAAAGUGGAAUUCCAUGUGUAGCGGUGAAAUGCGUAGAGAUAUGGAGGAACACCAGUGGCGAAGGCGACUUUCUGGUCUGUAACUGACACUGAGGCGCGAAAGCGUGGGGAGCAAACAGGAUUAGAUACCCUGGUAGUCCACGCCGUAAACGAUGAGUGCUAAGUGUUAGAGGGUUUCCGCCCUUUAGUGCUGAAGUUAACGCAUUAAGCACUCCGCCUGGGGAGUACGGCCGCAAGGCUGAAACUCAAAGGAAUUGACGGGGGCCCGCACAAGCGGUGGAGCAUCUGGUUUAAUUCGANGCAACGCGAAGAACCUUACCAGGUCUUGACAUCCUCUGAAAACUCUAGAGAUAGAGCUUCUCCUUCGGGAGCAGAGUGACAGGUGGCGCAUGGUUG
rnacentral:rRNA from 1 species